rnacentral:rRNA from 1 species
AUUGAACGCUAGCGGGAUGCCUUACACAUGCAAGUCGAACGGCAGCGCGGACUUCGGUCUGGCGGCGAGUGGCGAACGGGUGAGUAAUGUAUCGGAACGUGCCUAGUAGCGGGGGAUAACUACUCGAAAGAGUAGCUAAUACCGCAUACGCCCUACGGGGAAAGGGGGGGAGUCGCAAGACCUCUCACUAUUAGAGCGGCCGAUAUCGGAUUAGCUAGUUGGUGGGGUAAAGGCUCACCAAGGCGACGAUCCGUAGCUGGUUUGAGAGGACGACCAGCCACACUGGGACUGAGACACGGCCCAGACUCCUACGGGAGGCAGCAGUGGGGAAUUUUGGACAAUGGGGGAAACCCUGAUCCAGCCAUUCCGCGUGUGCGAUGAAGG